ACCAAUGAUGUGAUAAUUUGCGAUUGAAUCUGGUUCUGGAGACCCUCGCCGGGGUCUCUUAACAGCUCCAGAGAAAUGAUAUUCAUUUCUUACAUAUUCUGAAC
rnacentral:snoRNA from 1 species